UUCACCGAGAUUUUGAACCAUGAUAUUAUGUGUCCACUUACUUUCCAAGUUAGAUUAGGUUAUUUGAUCUCCUAGUUCAACUAAUCUCUAGUUUCCUAAAUUGGAGUUGGACUGGAUUCUCUUUCCUAUUCCACCUAUAUCGUACUUGGAUUUUAGAUGGAGGGAGACGGCCAUUGAACACAUCGACUGCUCUUCUCCCUUGCCAUCUCUCUUCUUCUUCCUAAUCACUCUUCUCUCAAGUUACUAAUUACAGAUCUUUGGUUUUCUACAAUUCCUUAUCAAUCGGCAUUGCAACGAAGUAAACAGCGCCUGAAGUUUUUUCCUGCAUUUUGGGGCUUUUGGGUUCUGAAGCUAUUGGGGUUAUAGAGUGACGAAAAUAUCACUGAGUUUGCACUUUGAAGGCUUAUGGGUAUUGAUGUUGUGGAGUUGCAGACCAGGUUGAUUUUCGUCUUUCUUCUUCAUUUCAUUUGAAUUUUGCAGAGAGAAGACAUGGUGGAUGCGGUUGUUUCUGUCUUCUUGGGGAAACUACUUAAUUCUUUGCAAGAGCAGAGCUGCAUCAUUAUUGAAUUUAAAGAUCAGUUCAAGAGGCUCAAGGGUGAGCUGCAGCUCAUGCAAAGCUUCCUCAGAGAUGCCGACAGGCUGAAGAGGAAACAGCAGACUCUCUGCACUCUUACAGUUCGUCUGCGAGAGUUGGUUUAUGAAGCUGAAGACAUACUUGGAGAUUUCCAGGUGAGAUGUAAAGAAGAUGAAGAAGUUGCUUCUACAUGUUUGAAGUGCUUCUCCCCCUUCAGAGCUGCCGUUCUGUUACCAAACUGGAAAGCGUCUCAGACAAAUCAAUGAGAAAAUAACUUCCAUCAAAUAGAACAUCUCUUCUUACCUAGGCGUGCCCCUUUUCACUGCAAAGCAAAUGCGGAGGUGUAGAAUUAUGAAAUGUCAAGAUGGAGCUCUCCCAUCUAUGACCAUACCCAAGUGGUGGAAUUGGAAGCGGACACAUAGAAGCUAAAAGACUGGCUAUUGGAAGCAAAUAACGGCUUCUUGCCAUUGGGAUUGUUGGCACAGGUGGAUUGGGCAAAACCAUGACUCAGAAGGGCUUCUACAACAGGGUAGUGGAGAACCACUUUAAGAGGAGGAUGUGGGUGUUUUAUCUCUCAGACAUUCACUGAAAAACAAAAUCAUGAGAAGCAUGCUCAAAGCACUAGGGAGAUGCCAGUGUUGGAGAUGAUUGAGGCGAACUGUUAGAGGAAAAUAAACCAUAAUCUUCAAAGCCAGAGGUAUUUGAUUGCGAAGGAUAAUGUUUGGAGCCUAGACAAUGCCUGGUGGCACCGAAUUUAUGAAGGGUUGCCAGAGGGAAAUGGGAGCAGUGUCAUACUCACCACUAGAUUUAAAGAAGUUGGUCAAAAGAUGGGAAAUUUCUCAGUGAAUAUGAUAGUUGCUUGUUCUGUGAGAUAGUUUUUGCAGCUAAUGGGGGUAAGUGUGGUUACCCUGAAUUGGAAGGGCGUUGGUAAGGAGAUUGUGGAGAAAUGCAAGGCAGUGGUAGGAAUCAUGCUCUGCAAGUUACCUUACUAUGAUAUAUGGAGGAGAAUUGCAGACAAUUUCAGAGAAGAGUUGGCAGGGAGAAUGAUGACUCGGUGAUGGCUUCCUUGCAAAUGAGUAUGAUGAGCUCCCCUCCUAUCUAAAAUCAUACUUCCUCUGUUUCUCUCUUUAUCCAGAUGAUUGUCAUAUUGAAGGAACUACUAACCUUUUGGUGGAUUAAAGAGGGUUUUGUUUCUGUGAGGAAUGAUCGAUUAAUAACAGUGGCAGCUGAAGAUUUUUUUUUCAGCUCUGAUGGAUCGAUGUUUGAUAGAAGUGGCUGAUAAGACUUCCAAUGAGAUGGUUUACACGUGCAAGAUUCAUGAUGUGGUUCAUUUAUUGUUCAAAAUGCUGAAGGAUGACUAGUCGAAUGGAGCUAGUAGCCUUCAGUUGGGCCUUAGAAGUGAGCUUGAUCUUAGGUGCCUUCAUGCCAAUAAAAAUCUGUACGGGCAUUGUUGUCCACAACCAAGACUGUUGAAAUUAACAAGAUCACUUUUAACAGUUGCAGAAAAGUUCUCUGAAUGCCGAUAUUUAAGGGUACUGGAUCUUUCAAAAUCAAUUUUCAAAACAUAUCUAGAAAAUCUACUGGACCAAAUUGGAGUACUCCAACAUUUAACUUACAUCAGUUUAAGCAACACCCACCCUUUGGUUCAACUCCCUCCUUCACUUGGGAAACUCAUUAACCUUGAAAUUCUGGUUUGGGAAGGCUUUCAAAUCUUCAAGAAUUGCUUGGGUUUAGACCUGCAAGAUCAAACCAAUUGGAAGGAUGUUGCAUUGCAGAGUUGAAGAGCUUCAAGCUACUCGGAAAGGUUGAAUUACGACUAACAAGGGUUGAUGAGAUAGGCUAGCUAAGUAUGUUGCUACAAGGACUACUUCUACUUGGGAUACUGCGCCACUUUUUCCCUUCAUGAUAUCAAUUGGGAUUCUCAGCUGACACCUAAAUAUAGUUUUUCAUAAGAAAUUUUGUUUUUGCUUUGAUUGGAUUGCUUCUCUGUUGAUGGCCAUGAGGAAGGUGGAGAUAUAAUUCAAUGUUUGUGUUCUCACUAAAUUCUUUGUAAUUUCCUUAUUAAUAAUGUAAUUCUAUUGCUGAUCUUUAGCCAAAAAAAAGGGUAAUUGUUCUGUUA